UACAGAGGGUGCGAGCGUUGUCCGGAAUCACUGGGCGUAAAGGGCGCGUAGGUGGCGGCCCAAGUCCAUGGUGAAAGCUCGCCGCUUAACGGCGAGUCGGCCACGGAUACUGGGUUGCUCGAGCACUGUAGGGGCAGAUGGAAUUCCGGGUGUAGCGGUGGAAUGCGUAGAGAUCCGGAAGAACACCAGUGGCGAAGGCGGUCUGCUGGGCAGUAGCUGACACUGAUGCGCGACAGCGUGGGAGCAAACAGG
rnacentral:rRNA from 1 species